UAUAUGUAAAUUAAUGUAAAGAGACUUUGGUUAACCUUCCCCCACACUUAAACUAAAUAACACAAACUCACAGAAAUCAAACAAAUAACACAACUAACUAAACAAAACAAAAUGAAAGCAGUAAAGAUAAGGGUGGAAGAAUGCAAAGCUGAUUGGGUUAGUGAUUCCAAAAGUCUCCCUUCGUUGAAUGCUUGGGUUGCCUCCCAAGAAGCGCUUGAUUUAACGUCUUUAGCCGGACGCAUCUUUCCUUUAAAUUUCCCUCGGCUCCAUUUGAACCUAAAAUCAAAGAAAGAAAAAUAAAUCAAAUAUCAAAAGUAAAAAUACACAAACACCAAUAUAAACAUAAACAAAAACAAAAAUAAAAGGAUUAGCAAAGUUACUAAUCCCCGGCAACGGCGCCAAAAUUUGAUGCGAAAAUUACUUGACACACAAAUUAAACCCUCUUU
rnacentral:lncRNA from 1 species